CUGCCAGAUCAGGGGAGUGAGCGCUGGCCGGUGUCUCUUGUAAAGAGCGCAGAGGGCUCCGCGGAGCUUUCCUCCGCUGAGAGGGCCGCCCAACCUCCUUGCUUACUCUCAUUUUCUUCCCAUUUUUCUUUUUUGGGUCUAUCUGUAACUGGGAUGCGUGUCUGGAGAGGUAUCCUCCAAAUCACAUUUUGAAGGAUGGAAAGAUUGCCUGUUGGAUCCUGUGAGUUAAGCAGCCACGUCUACCAAAAGAGAAUAAAGGGCAGAGAUGUUUUGAAGAGAGCUCAGUGACGCUUAGACAAAAAUGCCCCAGGAGGAACAAGCAGAGAAGCUGAGAGAGAAACUUUGCAGAAAGCCAUUUUGAAACCAGAAGCUGGGAGAGAAGGGCCAGCAGACAUCGCCACAUGCCUUCCCAGGUGACUGAGGAACCCUGGAUGCCAUCGGCUUUUCCUCGGAGGAAGUACCUACUUCUUUUUGCCUUAAUUUGGACA